UACGUAGGGUGCAAGCGUUAAUCGGAAUUACUGGGCGUAAAGCGUGCGCAGGCGGUUAUGCAAGACAGAUGUGAAAUCCCCGGGCCCAACCUGGGAACUGCAUUUGUGACUGCAUGGCUAGAGUACGGUAGAGGGGGAUGGAAUUCCGCGUGUAGCAGUGAAAUGCGUAGAUAUGCGGAGGAACACCGAUGGCGAAGGCAAUCCCCUGGGCCUGCACUGACGCUCAUGCACGAAAGCGUGGGGAGCAAACAGG
rnacentral:rRNA from 1 species